UCAGGCUUAAGGUGUACUGAAGGACCUGCUAUCAUAUUUGGAAAAUGUACUGCUAAUAUGUGCAGCGUCUGGCUCCCAUAGUGCCCUUAUGUACUUGAAAAGCACCAGGAAUCUGGGAUGUGUUGCAUAUGGUUUGCAAAAUCAGAGCAGGCUCAUGGAAUUUCAGACUGUUGGAUUAACUGGUCUCCUUUGCAUUCACCAGUCUGUUUGAUUAGGGGGACUGGACACCGCUAAAUGAUUCUGUAUUAAUUUAUACAUAAUAAGGACAUUUCUACUUGCUAGUUACCAGAUGCACUCCAAGUGAAAUAUUCCAAAAGAGGUUUUUUUUUUCUGUAAAAAAAUAAUACUGCAUUUCCUUUUGAUAGAAAAGACAAUUACG